rnacentral:rRNA from 1 species
UGCCAGCAGCCGCGGUAAUACGGAGGGUGCAAGCGUUAUCCGGAAUCAUUGGGUUUAAAGGGUCCGUAGGCGGGCAUAUAAGUCAGUGGUGAAAGUCUGUGGCUUAACCAUAGAAUUGCCAUUGAUACUGUAUGUCUUGAAUUAUUGUGAAGUGGUUAGAAUAUGUAGUGUAGCGGUGAAAUGCUUAGAGAUUACAUAGAAUACCGAUUGCGAAGGCAGAUCACUAACAAUAUAUUGACGCUGAUGGACGAAAGCGUAGGUAGCGAACAGGAUUAGAUA